rnacentral:misc_RNA from 1 species
GGCAAAGACAAGUGCAUAUGGGAAGUUCUAAUGUGUUAGAAAUUAUAGAUGGUCUAACAUAAGAGGAAUGGAUGAAAAGGAAGAAGCAUCAGCUUGGGCAUGUUCCAAACAUUGUUUACUGUUGGUGCUAUGUCUUUUGCACGUUCUAAUCCACAUGAAAUUUGCCUUGCCAAUCUAGCUUGAGACCAACUUAUGUAUCUAUUAUUUUAUUCCCUUGCAAUCUAGUAUGCAUAUUGCCUAUGCUGAACUAUUUUUAUUUGUUAUUUCCUGUGUAGUGUCCAUGUGUGAGUAUUAAUAAUUGAAUAUAAAAAUAUUAAACAAUUCA